UACGUAGGGUGCGAGCGUUGUCCGGAAUCAUUGGGCGUAAAGAGCGUGUAGGCGGCUUGUUAAGUCUUGCGUGAAAUCUCGGGGCUCAACCCCGAGCGGUCGUGAGAAACUGGCAGGCUAGAGUGCGGGAGAGGAGAGUGGAAUUCCUGGUGUAGCGGUGAAAUGCGCAGAUAUCAGGAAGAACACCCGUGGCGAAGGCGGCUCUCUGGAACGCAACUGACGCUGAGACGCGAAAGCGUGGGGAGCAAACAGG
rnacentral:rRNA from 1 species